UUUUUUUUUUUGUUCCCUUCCCAGUUGUCGUAUGUUGCAGAAGAUGAGAAAGGAAAGAUUGUGGGAUAUGUACUGGCAAAAAUGGAAGAAGAACCCGAUGAAGCUGUUCAUGGACAUAUCACCUCCUUGGCCGUUAAACGUUCUCACAGGAGGUUGGGUCUGGCACAAAAACUUAUGGAACAGGUAGUUAUUCCUGACCAUUGAUGAUUGUAUCUACUGUAGGUCAAAUAGAACCGUGUAGUUUAUCACGAAUCUGUAUAUAUCUUGACCUUAGGAAAUGAGAAAGAUGGGUUGCAAUAACUCUGUUCACAAAUUGGUCUACACGUAGAUAUUUGAAAUUGAGUUUUUGUCUCUUGCUGUUAUUUUCAAUUUAGUGAUUUAUUUACUCUGCAUAUCCUGCAUUACUGGGGUAAUAAUUUAAGUGGGUGAAAAUGGGUGGAAACAAGGGUGAGGAAAGGACGGUUUGCCAUCUUAAUUUCUUCUAUGAUCCCCAGUUGCACUUUGUAUUGAGUCUGUCUUGCAAACAUUUCACCAUACAUGUACAUGUCAUAACCUCAAAAUUCCAUUUCAUGGCUUCCUGUGACUCAAUGAUCAAAAGAGGGUCAAAAUUCCACCUCAUUAAUUGAUCAUCGGGAUGUUAUUUCAUCUUUGCUGCAACUGAGAAGUCCUUAUUUUUUCUCUUCUUUUUUACC